rnacentral:rRNA from 1 species
CCUACGGGGGGCAGCAGUGAGGAAUAUUGGUCAAUGGCCGUAAGGCUGAACCAGCCAAGUAGCGUGAGGGAAGACUGCCCUAUGGGUUGUAAACCUCUUUUAUGCGGGGAUAAAGGUGUCCACGUGUGGAUGUUUGCAGGUACCGCAUGAAUAAGGACCGGCUAAUUCCGUGCCAGCCGCCGCGGUAAUACGGAAGGUCCGGGCGUUAUCCGGAUUUAUUGGGUUUAAAGGGAUCGUAGGCCGGUCUUUAAGCGUGCCGGGAAAUUUUGUGGCGAAAACAUGAGAGUGCGGAGCGAACUGGAGACCUUGAGUGCGCGGAAGGCAGGCGGAAUUCGUGGUGUAGCGGUGAAAUGCUUAGAUAUCACGAAGAACGCCGAUUGCGAAGGCAGCCUGCCGCAGCGUUACUGACGCUGAAGCUCGAAAGCGCGGGUAUCGAACAGGAUUAGAUACCCCUGUAGUC